GGUGGCGUGUCCGAGCGGCCGAAGGGUCCCGCCUCGAAAGCGGGUGAGGUGCAAGCCUCCGUGGGUUCAAAUCCCACCGCCACCGCCA
rnacentral:tRNA from 1 species